UCUUGACAUCCCUCGACAACCGAGAGAUCGGCGUUCCCCUUCGGGGGGACGAGGGUGGACAGGUGGUGCAUGGUUGUCGUCAGCUCGUGUCGUGAGAUGUUGGGUUAAGUCCCGCAACGAGCGCAACCCUCGACCUUAGUUGCCAGCAUUCAGUUGGGCACUCUAAGGUGACUGCCGGCUAAAAGUCGGAGGAAGGUGGGGGAUGACGUCAAAUCAUCAUGCCCCUUAUGACCUGGGCUACACACGUGCUACAAUGGGCGGUACAAAGGGUCGCGAACCCGCGAGGGGGAGCCAAUCCCAAAAAGCCGCUCUCAGUUCGGAUUGCAGGCUGCAACUCGCCUACAUGAAGUCGGAAUCGCUAGUAAUCGCGGAUCAGCACGCCGCGGUGAAUACGUUCCCGGGCCUU
rnacentral:rRNA from 1 species